ensembl:lincRNA
GGCCUUGCACUAUGGACAAGCAGCAGCCUUCCACUUUGACCUCACCCUGACUCCACCCCUGGCAUCACCACCUCCACUAUCUGGAUCAAAGGGAGGCUCCCUACCCUGCCACAGAGGGAAGGAAUCAUGAGUGUCUCCCGUCACAUAAAGGAGCAGUAUAUCCUCAACACACAUCCACCCAGGCCACUCUGCUUUUCCUGUGUCCUUCGUGUGGCUUCCCUCGACUGGCUCAAGUUCCCACUUUCCACAGUCUCUGUCUUCCUUCUUUCACCUCCAUAGGAAAUCAGGAACAGGGUGUGGAAAAAUGCCGGGGGUAGGAGUGUCACCACAAAAAAAAAAAAAAAAAAAAAAAAAAAAAAAAAUUCCGCCCCCCCACAGAAAAAUAGGAAAUGACUCUUCCAUUUAAAACAAAACAAGACAACAAGCAACAAACAAACAAAAACUGGAUGAAAAGGAGGAAAGGCCAGAGGUAUCUCCUGAGAAGACGGUUAAGUUGGGGUGGGGGCACAGGCGUGGAAGCCAUUUUUGUAGAGUAUGAUUAUUUGGGUCUAUUUUACCAAGCGAGUGCCAGUAACUGUAGUCAUAUGCCAGCAGGAGGACAGGACAGUUGCCCAGACAGUCAAAGAAGGCACCAGGGACUCUUACAGGAGGGGAUGUGAGAGGCCAGCCCACCCUCUGAUCAUCUGUCUUCUCUGUUACUGAAGCUGCACACUGACUCCAUGGAUCUGGGAGGAGGGAUUGAAAAUGAGAGCACCUGGAACCCUUCCAAAGGAUUCAAGCAUUCAGUGUAGGACCUCUUCCCCUAUUGUGGUUGCAGCCAAAUGCCCUUUGCAAUGCUGCCCUCCAGAGGGAACGCCAAGAAGUAGGAAGCAGACACUUGCCCAGAGCUCAAGGGAGCUUUCUUGACUACAGAGGACUUGGUCAUUAAGACCGAUUCAACCAGUUCAAGCGACUGUGUAGCCAUGACACCCACAGAAACACAGACUGGAAUGAAGACACUGUUACAGUCCUGGCAUGAAAGAAGAUAAUCAAAAGAGAUGCUUCAGCUAUCAGAGUAUAGAAACAAUGGACCUCCAAGAAUUACAUUUUCCCCCAGGAAUUCCACAGUGGAAUGGAAAGGCUGAAUCCCGGUAUCGGCCAGAGGACGACCUGGCCUCCUGGGAUGGUUCUGACAACUUGUGUAAGGUCCCUUGUAGAAAGAUUGAACUGAGACAGUAAAGGGUCACUGGUGGGUGGGACCACACCUUGACUAGGUCUUCGUAGUUAUACAUACCCUUUACCCUGAACUUAACCCCAAACCUCCUCCCAGGACCCUUGAGAUGGACUUGAGGGUGGUUGUCAGACCUCUGUAUUUGUUCCUCUUCCCAAUGUGGCUACAUUGACUAAGUCUCCUCUCUCUGCUUUUCACUAUUACCUGUCUCUUUAAGAAAGAUAUUGGGGAUGAGAAGCUGAGUCUAGGUGACUGGGGCUGCCAGGACUCAGGCUUUGCCUGUAAAAAUUCCAGUAACAUCUCUAUAGUCCACCAUGCCCUCUGAUUCCCUAAGUGACAACUGAUAGUCGUCCCCAAAGCCAAGAAACCCCAGAGCAGCUUAUUCUUGAGAGCCCAAGUCCAAGCAAGGGUGCUGCUGUUGGCCACCACAGACUAGGCUCCCAGGCCACAUGUCUGAGUUUAAAGUUCACAGAUUUCACUUCUGUCCACUAGGGAUCACCAGUUGCAGGCCAGAGAAAGACCCUGCCUGAUAGAAUAAACCUAAAGGAAGUAUGAAGCACCCAGAAAAAUCAAGACUCCUACCUAGUCAGGUGACCUAGAGACAGACAGGUCAGGAAUAAGAGCAGCAAGAAAUUCUUCCUAUCUCUUGUGACCAGAUUGGUGCCUAGCCCAAUUGUUAUCAGAGAGGCUUCACCCAGCAGCUGAUAGAAGCAGAUGCAGAGCCACAGCCGAACACUAGGCAGAAUUCAGGGGAUAGUGUGCAGGGGAGAAAGGAUUACAGGAGUCGGAGGGGUCAAGGACACCACAAGAAAAUUCACAAAUCAACUAAGCUGGGCACAUAGGGGCCCACAGAGACUGAACUGACAACUAGGGAGUCUGCAUGGGACUGACCCAGGCACUCUGCAUAUGGGUUACAGUUGUAUAGUUUGGUCCUCUCAUGGGACUACUAACAAUGAGAACAGGGGCUAUCUCCCAUUCUUUUACUGGGUUUAGGGACUCUACUAACCAUACUGGGUCACCUUGCCCAACCUCAAUACAUGGGGAGGUGCUUUGUCUUACUGCAACUUGAUAUGCCAUGUUUUGUUGAUACUCACGGGAGACUUGUCCUUUCCUAAACAGAAAUGAAGGAGUGGAUUUGGGGGGCGGGGCGGGGCUGGGAGGAGAGGAGGGAAGGGAAACUGCAGCCAAGAUGCAAAAUAAAUAAUUUUAUAAAAAAGAAAGGAAGGAAGAAAAAGAAAGAAAAUCCUUCCUUGUAUCACUGGUCUGUGCAAUGUCUUCCAACAGACUGAAGCCCCAAGGUAGCCCUCUAAGAUCCUAGCUAGUGAGGUGCCUGCUGGAAGCAUCUCUGUUAGAGAGAAGGCUCUAGGGACCCCUGACCCUGACCACUGGGGUGUGGAUUGAGUUCAAGAUGCUACAUGGAGUCGAGGAGAGAGAAGUGCUUGGAAGGCCAGUCUUCUAACGGAUGCUGGUUCCUUCCUGCCUGCCUGCCUGCCUGCUUCCCAUUCUUUUUUCUUUCUCUCCUUCCUUGGGCUUUUGACUGGGCCUCCCUAUGUAACCCAGGCUAGAUUCAAACUCAAAAUAUGCUCAUGCCUCAGUUUCCUGAGAACUGGAAUUACAGUUGUGUGUCACCAUGCCUGGCUUCUAAUACAUGUUUUUCUGAAGACGUGUCUGCCAAUGUCUUUACAGGAAGGUCCUACCUUGGGAGAAACGGUGUCUGUUGCAGGUGCUGUGUUAAUCCCAAAGAUUGGAAGAGAAAGACCACCAACCCAAAUCAUCAUGCCCAAAUUAAUUAAAACAAGCAUUUAAUUAAAGCAAGCUUUUUGAUUCCCAUAUACUGGCUGUCUCCCCUAAGGUAGGCCUCAAAAAGUCAGCAUUGGAUGUAAGGAAGACAAGGUUUUUAUAGCUCAGGGAUAGAG